rfam:Capsicum annuum cultivar Zunla-1 chromosome 2, whole genome shotgun sequence
ACCUCAUGAUUUGGGCAUUGGUCUAAUUUUCCAUUAAACCUUUCCCAAGCUUCAAAUAAUGGCUCUCCAUUUAUUCGCCAAAAAUUCACAAUUUCAUCCUGAUUUU